GAGUUCUCGUUGAAUCUCGGUGCUUGCACCGAGAUUCAACAUGGAACGAGUGGCGGACGGGUGAGUAACACGUGGGUAACCUGCCCUUAAGUGGGGGAUAACAUUUGGAAACAGAUGCUAAUACCGCAUAGAUCCAAGAACCGCAUGGUUCUUGGCUGAAAGAUGGCGUAAGCUAUCGCUUUUGGAUGGACCCGCGGCGUAUUAGCUAGUUGGUGAGGUAAUGGCUCACCAAGGCGAUGAUACGUAGCCGAACUGAGAGGUUGAUCGGCCACAUUGGGACUGAGACACGGCCCAAACUCCUACGGGAGGCAGCAGUAGGGAAUCUUCCACAAUGGACGCAAGUCUGAUGGAGCAACGCCGCGUGAGUGAAGAAGGCUUUCGGGUCGUAAAACUCUGUUGUUGGAGAAGAAUGGUCGGCAGAGUAACUGUUGUCGGCGUGACGGUAUCCAACCAGAAAGCCACGGCUAACUACGUGCCAGCAGCCGCGGUAAUACGUAGGUGGCAAGCGUUAUCCGGAUUUAUUGGGCGUAAAGCGAGCGCAGGCGGUUUUUUAAGUCUGAUGUGAAAGCCCUCGGCUUAACCGAGGAAGCGCAUCGGAAACUGGGAAACUUGAGUGCAGAAGAGGACAGUGGAACUCCAUGUGUAGCGGUGAAAUGCGUAGAUAUAUGGAAGAACACCAGUGGCGAAGGCGGCUGUCUGGUCUGUAACUGACGCUGAGGCUCGAAAGCAUGGGUAGCGAACAGGAUUAGAUACCCUGGUAGUCUAUGCCGUAAACA
rnacentral:rRNA from 1 species